UUGCAAACUAAAGAUGGCGACCGGCGCACGGGUGAGUAACACGCUAUCCNACCUGCCGAUAACUCGGGGAUAGCCUUUCGAAAGAAAGAUUAAUAUCCGAUAGUAUAUUAAAACCGCAUGGUUUUACUAUUAAAGAAUUUCGGUUAUCGAUGGGGAUGCGUUCCAUUAGUUUGUUGGCGGGGUAACGGCCCACCAAGACUACGAUGGAUAGGGGUUCUGAGAGGAAGGUCCCCCACAUUGGAACUGAGACACGGUCCAAACUCCUACGGGAGGCAGCAGUGAGGAAUAUUGGUCAAUGGACGAGAGUCUGAACCAGCCAAGUAGCGUGAAGGAUGACUGCCCUAUGGGUUGUAAACUUCUUUUAUAUGGGAAUAAAGUAUUCCACGUGUGGGAAUUUUGUAUGUACCAUAUGAAUAAGGAUCGGCUAACUCCGUGCCAGCAGCCGCGGUAAUACGGAGGAUCCGAGCGUUAUCCNGGAUUUAUUGGGUUAAAAGGGAGCGUAGGUGGAUUGUUAAGUCAGUUGUGAAAGUUUGCGGCUCAACCGUAAAAUUGCAGUUGAAACUGGCAGUCUUGAGUACAGUAGAGGUGGGCGGAAUUCGUGGUGUAGCGGUGAAAUGCUUAGAUAUCACGAAGAACUCCGAUUGCGAAGGCAGCUCACUAGACUGCAACUGACACUGAUGCUCGAAAGUGUGGGUAUCAAACAGGAUUAGAUACCCUGGUAGUCCACACAGUAAACGAUGAAUACUCGCUGUUUGCGAUAUACAGUAAGCGGCCAAGCGAAAGCAUUAAGUAUUCCACCUGGGGAGUACGCCGGCAACGGUGAAACUCAAAGGAAUUGACGGGGGCCCGCACAAGCGGAGGAACAUGUGGUUUAAUUCGAUGAUACGCGAGGNAACCUUACCCGGGCUUAAAUUGCAUUUGAAUAAUCUGGAAAACAGGUUAGCCGCAAGGCAAAUGUGAAGGUGCUGCAUGGUUGUCGUCAGCUCGUGCCGUGAGGUGUCGGCUUAAGUGCCAUAACGAGCGCAACCCUUAUCUUUAGUUACUAACAGGUCAUGCUGAGGACUCUAGAGAGACUGCCGUCGUAAGAUGUGAGGAAGGUGGGGAUGACGUCAAAUCAGCACGGCCCUUACGUCCGGGGCUACACACGUGUUACAAUGGGGGGUACAGAAGGCAGCUACCUGGCGACAGGAUGCUAAUCCCAAAAACCUCUCUCAGUUCGGAUCGAAGUCUGCAACCCGACUUCGUGAAGCUGGAUUCGCUAGUAAUCGCGCAUCAGCCAUGGCGCGGUGAAUACGUUCCCGGGCCUUGUACACACCGCCCGUCAAGCCAUGAAAGCCGGGGGUACCUGAAGUACGAACCGCAAGGAGCUCUAGGUAAC
rnacentral:rRNA from 1 species